ACUCAAGUGCCUGAGACAGGACCCCAGCAGCUCCACCAUGGACUUGGUGCCAAGCUGCGUUUUCCUCCUGAUCAUUCUUCAAGGUGUCCAGUGUGAGGUGCAGCUGGUGGAGUCUGGAGGAGGCUUGGUACCUCCUGGGGGGUCUCUGAGACUCUCCUGUGCAGCCUCUGGAUUCACCUUCAGUAGCUACUGGAUGAGCUGGGUCCGCCAGGCUCCAGGGAAGGGACUGGAGUGGGUCUCAUAUAUUAAUGGUGAUGGAAGUACCACAUCCUACGCAGACUCUGUGAAGGGCCGAUUCACCAUCUCCAGAGACAAUGCCAAGAACAUGCUGUAUCUGCAAAUGAACAGCCUGAGAGCCCAGGACACAGCUGUGUAUUACUGGGCCAGACCAAGUGCAUUUGGAGA